UUUAUCAAAAAACGAUGCAGAACCUUGUGUAUAAGGGUCUAAGCAACUCGUCAAGGAACGUUUGGGAAUAAGUCGUUGUUGAUGUCGUAAUGGGAUACUGUUGCGUAUUAAGUGAGUAUUCUUAGUAACAAGAGGAAAGUCAAUGUAAAAGCAUUGGAAUGCAAAGAACGUGUGCAAAGUGUGACCAAAUAUAAGGUAGCAGACUUGUCGGGACGACAAUAGAAAGCUAAGUUGAUAAGAUUUAGCCCCUCCGUAAAGAAAAUGGCAAGGGAUUGACAUAUAAUACUGACGGAAGUAUCCAAAGAAGUCCCUCGCUGUGAAAUGAUUAGAAAUGAUCUAUAAGACAAGAAAUGCGUGAGAGUAGCAGAAGGCGGAAAUAAGAUGAUUAUUUCAUAAAUAUACCGAAUGCUCCUGUGAAAUUUGUAGGCUGUCAUGCCUGACCACAUCUCGUAAGGCUGCAAUAUGCCAGCGGUCGCUCCGACUGGUACGGUAUUGCAUAAUGUGUGACCGAAUAACAUUGCAAUCGCAUGGUGUAGAGAGAUACUCCGCACAGUUUUUUGAUA
rnacentral:sRNA from 1 species